GUUGUAUAGUCAAGUAAUUAAGUGCAUGUGGUGGAUGCCUUGGCAGUCAGAGGCGAUGAAAGACGUGAUAGCCUGCGAAAAGCUCCGGGGAGGCGGCAAAUAUCCUUUGAUCCGGAGAUGUCUGAAUGGGGGAACCCACCUACUUUAAGGUAGGUAUUGCAACAUGAAUACAUAGUGUUGCAAGGCGAACGAGGGGAAGUGAAACAUCUCAGUACCCUUAGGAAAAGAAAUCAAUUGAGAUUCCCUCAGUAGCGGCGAGCGAACGGGGAUCAGCCCAUUAAGUUAUGUGUGUUUUAGUGGAACGCUCUGGGAAGUGCGAACGUAGAGGGUGAUAUUCCCGUACACGAAAGGGCACACAUAAUGAUGACGAGUAGGGCGAGGCACGUGAAACCUUGUCUGAAUAUGGGGGGACCAUCCUCCAAGGCUAAAUACUCCUGACUGACCGAUAGUGAACCAGUACCGUGAGGGAAAGGCGAAAAGAACCCCUGUGAGGGGAGUGAAAUAGAUCCUGAAACCGCAUGCAUACAAGCAGUGGGAGCACCUUCGUGGUGUGACUGCGUACCUUUUGUAUAAUGGGUCAGCGACUUAUAUUCAGUAGCGAGGUUAACCGUAUAGGGGAGCCGUAGAGAAAUCGAGUCUUAAUAGGGCGUUUAGUUGCUGGGUAUAGACCCGAAACCAGGCGAUCUAUCCAUGAGCAGGUUGAAGGUUGGGUAACACUAACUGGAGGACCGAACCCACUGUCGUUGAAAAGCCAGGGGAUGACUUGUGGAUAGGGGUGAAAGGCUAAUCAAGCCUGGUGAUAGCUGGUUCUCCCCGAAAGCUAUUUAGGUAGCGCCUCGGACGAAUACCAUAGGGGGUAGAGCACUGUUUCGGCUAGGGGGUCAUCCCGACUUACCAAACCGAUGCAAACUCCGAAUACCUAUGAGUACUAUCCGGGAGACAGACUGCGGGUGCUAACGUCCGUAGUCAAGAGGAAAACAAUCCAGACCGCCAGCUAAGGCCCCAAAAUCAUAGUUAAGUGGGAAACGAUGUGGGAAGGCAUAGACAGCUAGGAGGUUGGCUUAGAAGCAGCCACCCUUUAAAGAAAGCGUAAUAGCUCACUAGUCGAGUCGGCCUGCGCGGAAGAUGUAACGGGGCUAAAACUAUGUGCCGAAGCUGCGGAUNNNNNNNNNNNNNNNNAUGCUGGAGGUAUCAGAAGUGCGAAUGCUGACGUGAGUAACGACAAAACGGGUGAAAAACCCGUUCGCCGAAAGACCAAGGGUUCCAGUCCAACGUUAAUCGGGGCUGGGUGAGUCGACCCCUAAGGCGAGGCCGAAAGGCGUAGUCGAUGGGAAAAUGGUUAAUAUUCCAUUACUUCUGUGUAAUGCGAUGAGAGGACGGAGAAGGCUAAAUCAGCCUGGCGUUGGUUGUCCAGGUGAAAGGAUGUAGGCAUGUAUCUUAGGCAAAUCCGGGGUACUCUAUGCUGAGAUCUGAUAGCAAGCUGUACUUGUACAGCGAAGUGGUUGAUGCCAUGCUUCCAGGAAAAGUCUCUAAGCUUCAGUUACACAGGAAUCGUACCCGAAACCGACACAGGUGGUCAGGUCGAGUAGACCAAGGCGCUUGAGAGAACUCUGCUGAAGGAACUAGGCAAAAUGGUACCGUAACUUCGGGAGAAGGUACGCUGUUGUUGGUGAUGGAACUCGCUUCCUGAGCUGACGACAGCCGCAGAAACCAGGCCGCUGCAACUGUUUAUUAAAAACAUAGCACUCUGCAAACACGAAAGUGGACGUAUAGGGUGUGAUGCCUGCCCGGUGCUGGAAGGUUAAUUGAUGGGGUUAGCGUAAGCGAAGCUCUUGAUCGAAGCCCCAGUAAACGGCGGCCGUAACUAUAACGGUCCUAAGGUAGCGAAAUUCCUUGUCGGGUAAGUUCCGACCUGCACGAAUGGCAUAAUGAUGGCGGCGCUGUCUCCAGCAGAGGCUCAGUGAAAUCGAAAUCGCUGUGAAGAUGCAGUGUACCCGCGGCUAGACGGAAAGACCCCGUGAACCUUUACUGCAGCUUGACACUGAACUUUGACCUUACUUGUGUAGGAUAGGUGGGAGGCUUUGAAGCUGGAACGCUAGUUCCAGUGGAGCCGUCCUUGAAAUACCACCCUGGUAAUGUUGAGGUUCUAACUCUGUCCCGUGAUCCGGGACGAGGACCGUGUCUGGUGGGUAGUUUGACUGGGGCGGUCUCCUCCUAAAGAGUAACGGAGGAGUACGAAGGUGCGCUCAGCGUGGUCGGAAAUCACGCGUAGAGUAUAAAGGCAAAAGCGCGCUUAACUGCGAGACCCACAAGUCGAGCAGGUACGAAAGUAGGUCUUAGUGAUCCGGUGGUUCUGUAUGGAAGGGCCAUCGCUCAACGGAUAAAAGGUACUCUGGGGAUAACAGGCUGAUACCGCCCAAGAGUUCAUAUCGACGGCGGUGUUUGGCACCUCGAUGUCGGCUCAUCUCAUCCUGGGGCUGAAGCAGGUCCCAAGGGUAUGGCUGUUCGCCAUUUAAAGAGGUACGCGAGCUGGGUUUAGAACGUCGUGAGACAGUUCGGUCCCUAUCUACCGUGGGCGCUGGAAAUUUGAGAGGAUCUGCUCCUAGUACGAGAGGACCAGAGUGGACGAACCUCUGGUGUACCGGUUGUGACGCCAGUCGCAUCGCCGGGUAGCUAUGUUCGGAAGGGAUAACCGCUGAAAGCAUCUAAGCGGGAAGCCUACCUCAAGAUAAGAUUUCCCUAGGACUUUAUGUCCUCUAAAGAGCCGUUCGAGACUAGGACGUUGAUAGGUUGGAUGUGGAAGCAUAGUGAUAUGUGAAGCUGACCAAUACUAAUUGCUCGUGAGGCUUGACUAUACAACACCCAAGCAGUUG
rnacentral:rRNA from 1 species